rnacentral:rRNA from 1 species
AGUGAACGCUGGCGGCAGGCCUAACACAUGCAAGUCGAGCGGCAGCGCGGGGCAACCCUGGCGGCGAGCGGCGGACGGGUGAGGAAUACAUCGGAAUCUACCCAGUCGUGGGGGAUAACGUAGGGAAACUUACGCUAAUACCGCAUACGACCUGAGGGUGAAAGCAGGGGACCGCAAGGCCUUGCGCGAUUGGAUGAGCCGAUGUCCGAUUAGCUAGUUGGUGAGGUAAAGGCUCACCAAGGCGACGAUCGGUAGCUGGUCUGAGAGGAUGAUCAGCCACACUGGAACUGAGACACGGUCUAGACUCCUACGGGAGGCAGCAGUGGGGAAUAUUGGACAAUGGGCGCAAGCCUGAUCCAGCCAUGCCGCGUGUGUGAAGAAGGCCUUCGGGUUGUAAAGCACUUUUGUUGGGAAGAAAUCUUCCGGCCUAAUACGCCGGGAGGCUGACGGUACCCCAAAGAAUAAGCACCGGCUAACUUCGUGCCAGCAGCCGCGGUAAUACGAAGGGUGCAAGCGUUACUCGGAAUUACUGGGCGUAAAGCGUGCGUAGGUGGUUCGUUAAGUCUGCCGUGAAAGCCCCCGGGCUCAACCUGGGAAUGGCGGUGGAUACUGGCGGACUAGAGUGCGGUAGAGGGUGGUGGAAUUCCCGGUGUAGCAGUGAAAUGCGUAGAGAUCGGGAGAACNUCUGUGGCGAAGGCGCCACCUGGGACCACACUGACACUGAGGCACGAAA